UCAGCUUGUUGGUGGGGUAAUGGCCUACCAAGGCGACGACGGGUAGCCGACCUGAGAGGGUGACCGGCCACACUGGGACUGAGACACGGCCCAGACUCCUACGGGAGGCAGCAGUGGGGAAUAUUGCACAAUGGGCGAAAGCCUGAUGCAGCGACGCCGCGUGAGGGAUGAAGGCCUUCGGGUUGUAAACCUCUUUCAGCAGGGACGAAGCGCAAGUGACGGUACCUGCAGAAGAAGCACCGGCUAACUACGUGCCAGCAGCCGCGGUAAUACGUAGGGUGCGAGCGUUGUCCGGAAUUACUGGGCGUAAAGAGUUCGUAGGCGGUUUGUCGCGUCGUUUGUGAAAACCCGGGGCUCAACUUCGGGCUUGCAGGCGAUACGGGCAGACUUGAGUGUUUCAGGGGAGACUGGAAUUCCUGGUGUAGCGGUGAAAUGCGCAGAUAUCAGGAGGAACACCGGU
rnacentral:rRNA from 1 species